CCUACGGGCGGCAGCAGUGGGGAAUAUUGGACAAUGGGCGAAAGCCUGAUCCAGCCAUGCCGCGUGUGUGAAAAAGGCCUUCGGGUUGUAAAGCACUUUCAGUGGGGAAGAAAGCCUUGGGGCUAAUACCCUCGAGGAAGGACAUCACCCACAGAAGAAGCACCGGCUAACUCCGUGCCAGCAGCCGCGGUAAUACGGAGGGUGCGAGCGUUAAUCGGAAUUACUGGGCGUAAAGCGCGCGUAGGCGGUCUGAUAAGCCGGUUGUGAAAGCCCCGGGCUCAACCUGGGAACGGCAUCCGGAACUGUCAGGCUAGAGUGCAGGAGAGGAAGGUAGAAUUCCCGGUGUAGCGGUGAAAUGCGUAGAGAUCGGGAGGAAUACCAGUGGCGAAGGCGGUCUUCUGGACUGACACUGACGCUGAGGUGCGAAAGCGUGGGUAGCAAACAGGAUUAGAUACCCGUGUAGUC
rnacentral:rRNA from 1 species